rnacentral:rRNA from 1 species
UAAGGAAUAUUGCUCAAUGGGAGAAAUCCUGAAGCAGCAACGCCGCGUGGAGGAUGAAGGGUCUAUGACUUGUAAACUCCUGUAAAGAAGGAAAAAAUUCCCAUUUGAUGGGAGAUGAUGGUACUUCUGGAGUAAGCCCCGGCUAACUACGUGCCAGCAGCCGCGGUAAUACGUAGGGGGCAAGCGUUGUCCGGAUUAACUGGGUGUAAAGGGGGCUCAGGCGGAUUUGUAAGUCAGAGGUGAAAUCUUACAGCUUAACUGUGAAACUGCCUUUGAUACUGCAAGCCUAGAGUAUGGAAGAGAGUGAUGGAAUAUCUGGUGUAGCAGUGAAAUGCGUAGAUAUCAGAUAGAACACCAAUGGCGAAGGCAGUCACUUGGUCCAUUACUGACGCUAAAGCACGAAAGCGUGGGUAGCAAACA